rnacentral:RNase_P_RNA from 1 species
ACAGCACCCCGGCUUGUCGCUGGCAUCUGAAAGGAUGAAAGAGGAAAGUCCGGGCAGUAUAGGGCAUCUCACUACCUAACAAGUAGCAGUCCGCAAGGGUUGGGUAACGCAGAAGAAAAUAACCGCCACGGAAACGUGGUAAGGGUGAGAAGGUGAGGCAAGAGCUCACCAGCAUCAUGGUGACAUGAUGGCUGUGCGUCCUGAGAACUGCAAGUUCAUGUAAACUGCCGUCCGAGGGUUGCCCGUCCGAGGCAGAGGGUAGAACGCUUGAGCCGUGUGGCGACAUACGGCGUAGAUAAAUGACAAGCGCCUGAAUGCGUGACUGUCUCGUUACUGCAUACAGGUACAGAACCCGGCUUAUAGGGGCGCUGUUAUU